rnacentral:SRP_RNA from 1 species
CCGUGCUAGACGGGGAGGUAGCGGUGCCCUGUACCCGCAAUCCGCUAUAGCGGGGUUGAAUUCCUGCUUGAGGUAUAUCUUAUGCGAGGUCUGGCUUGUGUAAGUAGUGUUGACAAUUGGGUCCUACGCAACGAGAACCCAUGAACCCGGUCAGGUCCGGAAGGAAGCAGCCGUAAGUGGACCCUCUCGUGUGCCGUAGGGUAGCCUGGUUCGAGCUAACUGCAUAGGUAACGCUCGGGUGUGGUAUAUCGAUGGCAGGUGCACGG